rnacentral:pre_miRNA from 1 species
UUUAAAUAUAGUAAUGAGUUUUUUCACCUUUAACUGUUCAUCUUAUUUAAAAUAUUUUCAUGAUCAAUAUUUUUAUUGUUAUUUGAUGAUAAAAUAUAAAUAUUAUUUUAUACGUGACUUUUUUAAAAUAUAUUUUUAUAAAUUUUUCGAAUAAGACAGAUGAUUAAAUAUUAGACACACAACCUACAACUGCAUUUUAA